rnacentral:tRNA from 1 species
GCCUGGGUGGCUCAGUCGGUUGAGCGUCCGAUCUCGGCUCGGGUCAUAUCUCACAGUGUGAGUUCGAGCCCCGCAUCGGGCU